GACGAACGCUGGCGGCGUGCUUAACACAUGCAAGUCGAACGGAAAGGCUCCAGCUUUCUGGUGUACUCGAGUGUCGAACGGGUGAGUAACACGUGUGUAAUCUGCCCUGCACUCUGGGAUAAGCCUGUGAAACUGGGUCUAAUACUGGAUAUGACCUUUCACCUUAUGGGGUUUGGUGUUAAGUGUUUCGGUGUAGGAUGAGCCCGCGGCCUAUCAGCUUGUUGGUGGGGUGAUGGCCUACCAAGGCGACGACGGGUAGCCGGCCUGGGAGGGUGAUCGGCCACAGUGGGACUGAGAUACGGCCCAGACUCCUACGGGAGGCAGCAGUGGGGAAUAUUGCACAAUGGGCGGAAGCCUGAUGCAGCGACGCCGCGUGGGGGAUGACGGCCUUCGGGUUGUAAACCUCUUGCAGCAGGGACGAAGCGUAAGUGACGGUACCUGAAGAAGAAGCACCGGCUAACUAUGUG
rnacentral:rRNA from 1 species